rnacentral:rRNA from 1 species
GACGAACGCUGGCGGCGUGCUUAACACAUGCAAGUCGAACGAAAAGAGGGAAAGAGCUUGCUCUUUCCGGAAUUGAGUGGCAAACGGGUGAGUAACACGUAAACAACCUGCCUUCAGGAUGGGGACAACAGACGGAAACGACUGCUAAUACCGAAUAAGUUCCAAGAGCCGCAUGGCCCAUGGAAGAAAAGGUGGCCUCUACCUGUAAGCUAUCGCCUGAAGAGGGGUUUGCGUCUGAUUAGCUGGUUGGAGGGGUAACGGGCCCACCAAGGCGACGAUCAGUAGCCGGUCUGAGAGGAUGAACGGCCACACUGGAACUGAGACACGGUCCAGACUCCUACGGGAGGCAGCAGUGGGGGAAUCUUCCGCAAUGGGCGAAAGCCUGACGGAGCAACGCCGCGUGAGUGAUGACGGCC